GGAUUCCUGGAUGUUGAUCAGUAAGUGGACAAACCACUCCUUUCAUGGGCUCUUCCUUGCCCCUCCUGGUCAGCUUGUUUAGUGGCAGUUGUAUCUAAUCAACAAGGAGUUUUUGGUGGAAGAAAGCUUUCAGUAAUGAGAUCUUCCUGAUUCAUCCCGAUGAUGGAGGAAAGGAAAAUGCUACUCUGUGUGAGCUUGUAAGAACAGUGAAAUCCUGAUUGUUCCAUGUUACACAGGCAAGUAUUUU